ensembl:ncRNA lncRNA:CR45387 long non-coding RNA:CR45387
AGCUAACUUAAUUGCCACAAUCCAAUAAAAUCGCCGAAAAAACAAAGGUUUUUGACAUAUUUCCAGUUUUGCAGACGCCAUUUUUGCCACCGCAUAUAACAAUACAGAACUCAAUAAAACUAGAACCACCCCUCGCUCCGUCAAGUAGAUCAUUUCAGGCCGGACAGCCCGGCUGACUCACAGACUGGACAUGCUAACCAACAGAACAGAACAGAACAGAAUGCUCUCUAUAACGCAAACAACCCCUAGAAGUUGCAGAUACCACCACCGCCACCACCACCGAAACUCAGCUCUUGUGGAAUGGUC